UGCGAUCAGCCAUUGAUUAUUUUGAAGUGACAAGAGCUAGGCCAUCUUUGGAUGGAACUGUUCUUAUUACAGCUUGGUCUAAACUAUCUUUUUACACCAUAGAUUUUGGUUGGGGAGAACCCAUUUCAACAGGGCCUGUUGCUUUGCCUGAAAAGCCAGUUCUGAUUUUCCUUCCUCAUCAGAAAGAUAAGAAAAGCAUUAAUUUACUGUUGGGGUUGCCUGUUUCAGCAAUGAAUAGCUUUGAAGAACUGAUGCAGGUUUAAGCAGAAGAAAAAAAAAGACAUGUUUUAUACCAAGUUAUUUUAUGUCAGAUACUCAGAUUCAUAUGUUGCAUGCAUUCAUUAUCUGAGGAUUUUCUGACAGUGGG
rnacentral:lncRNA from 1 species